rnacentral:rRNA from 1 species
UGGGGAAUUUUGGACAAUGGGCGAAAGCCUGAUCCAGCAAUGCCGCGUGUGUGAAGAAGGCCUUCGGGUUGUAAAGCACUUUUGUCCGGAAAGAAAUCCUUGGCUCUAAUACAGUCGGGGGAUGACGGUACCGGAAGAAUAAGCACCGGCUAACUACGUGCCAGCAGCCGCGGUAAUACGUAGGGUGCAAGCGUUAAUCGGAAUUACUGGGCGUAAAGCGUGCGCAGGCGGUUUGCUAAGACCGAUGUGAAAUCCCCGGGCUCAACCUGGGAACUGCAUUGGUGACUGGCAGGCUAGAGUAUGGCAGAGGGGGGUAGAAUUCCACGUGUAGCAGUGAAAUGCGUAGAGAUGUGGAGGAAUACCGAUGGCGAAGGCAGCCCCCUGGGCCAAUACUGACGCUCAUGCACGAAAGCGUGGGGAGCAAACAGGAUUAGAUACCCUGGUAGUCCACGCCCUAAAACGAUGUCAACUAGUUGUUGGGGACUUCAUUUUCCUUAGUAACGUAGCUAACGCGUGAAGUUGACCGCCUGGGGAGUACGGUCGCAAGAUUAAAACUUAAAGGAAUUGACGGGGUCAUAGCUGUUUCCU